UACAGAGACCUCGAGCGUUAUCCGGAAUCAUUGGGCGUAAAGCGUACCGAUAGGUGGUUUAGAAAGUCAGAUGUGAAAUUCCAAGGCUCAACCUUGGGACUGUCAUUUGAAACUUCUAAACUAGAGGGGCAAAGAGGAAGCUGGAACGAACGGUGUAGUAGUGAAAUGCGUUGAUAUCGUUCGGAACACCAAUAGCGAAGGCGGGCUUCUGGGUGCCACCUGACACUGCUAGGACGAAAGCGUGGGGAGCGAAUGGG
rnacentral:rRNA from 1 species